AAAACGACUCUCGGCAACGGAUAUCUCGGCUCUCGCAUCGAUGAAGAACGUAGCGAAAUGCGAUACUUGGUGUGAAUUGCAGAAUCCCGUGAACCAUCGAGUCUUUGAACGCAAGUCGCGCCCCAGGCCUUCUGGCCGAGGGCACGUCUGCCUGG
rnacentral:rRNA from 1 species